rnacentral:rRNA from 1 species
GAGUUUGAUCAUGGCUCAGGACGAACGCUGGCGGCACGCCUAACACAUGCAAGUCGAACGGAGAUAUUUUGGUUUACUGAGAUAUCUUAGUGGCGGACGGGUGAGUAACACGUGAGCAACCUGCCUCUGAGAGAGGGAUAGCUUCUGGAAACGGAUGGUAAUACCUCAUAACAUAACGAAGCCGCAUGACUUUGUUAUCAAAGAUUUAUCACUCAGAGAUGGGCUCGCGUCUGAUUAGAUAGUUGGUGAGGUAACGGCUCACCAAGUCGACGAUCAGUAGCCGGACUGAGAGGUUGAACGGCCACAUUGGGACUGAGACACGGCCCAGACUCCUACGGGAGGCAGCAGUGGGGAAUAUUGCACAAUGGGGGAAACCCUGAUGCAGCGAUGCCGCGUGGAAGAAGAAGGUUUUCGGAUUGUAAACUCCUGUCUAAAGGACGAUAAUGACGUACUAGAAGAUUCCGCC